rnacentral:rRNA from 1 species
UGCUGCCAGUUGCCAACGGGUAGAGCCGGGCACUCUGGCGGGACUGCCAUCGACAAGAUGGAGGAAGGUGGGGAUGACGUCAAGUCAUCAUGGCCCUUAUGUCCAGGGCGACACACGUGCUACAAUGGCCGGCACAGCGGGAAGCGAGGCAGUGAUGCCAAGCGGAUCCCUUAAAGCCGGUCUCAGUUCGGAUUGAAGUCUGCAACUCGACUUCAUGAAGCUGGAAUCGCUAGUAAUCGCAGAUCAGCCAAGCUGCGGUGAAUACGUUCCCGGGCCUU